GUAGUUCCAUCUGCCUAAGAAACCACGAACCUCUUUCUGUUCUCGGUUCAGGCGUUUCUCUUAUUUUCUUUUCUUUUUUUCUCUUUUUUUUUUUGCAGGAUGAACCUCGAUUCCUCACUUACAAUGAACCCCAUCAGCUUACCGGCCCGCACUCUGAUAGUGCACUUAUCUGAAUUCAACCUCAGUUUGAAUUGCCUCAACUGGUCCACUCAGCUUGCCCCGGUCUGCC
rnacentral:lncRNA from 1 species